GAUGAACGCUGGCGGCGUGCCUAAUACAUGCAAGUCGAGCGAACAGAUGAGGAGCUUGCUCCUCUGACGUUAGCGGCGGACGGGUGAGUAACACGUGGAUAACCUACCUAUAAGACUGGGAUAACUUCGGGAAACCGGAGCUAAUACCGGAUAAUAUAUUGAACCGCAUGGUUCAAUAGUGAAAGACGGUUUUGCUGUCACUUAUCGAUUGAUCCGCGCCGCAUUGGCUAGUUGGUAAGGUAACGGCUUACCAAGGCAACGAUGCGUAGCCGACCUGAGAGGGUGAUCGGCCACACUGGAACUGAGACACGGUCCAGACUCCUACGGGAGGCAGCAGUAGGGAAUCUUCCGCAAUGGGCGAAAGCCUGACGGAGCAACGCCGCGUGAGUGAUGAAGGUCUUCGGAUCGUAAAACUCUGUUAUUAGGGAAGAACAAAUGUGUAAGUAACUAUGCACGUCUUGACGGUACCUAAUCAGAAAGCCACGGCUAACUACGUG
rnacentral:rRNA from 1 species